GCCCGCCUAGCUCAAUCGGAUAGAGCGUCAGACUCUUAGUGCGGAGGCUUCGGUCACCGGUACCCCAAGCGUCAUCUGAAGGCUGCGAGUUCGACCCUCGCGGUGGGCU